ensembl:lncRNA
CUCGGUGUGGCCUCUUUGGGUUUAUCUUGUUUGGUGCUCUCUGUGCUGCUCAUACCUGUAUGUCUGUUUCCUUCCUUAGGUUAGGAAAGUUUUCAGCUAUUAUUUCUUCAAAUAGAUUCUCUGAUCCUUUGUCUCUCUCUUCUCCUUCUGGGACACCUAUAAUAUAGAUGUUAGCGCACUUGAUGUUGUCCCAGAGGUCCCUUAGACUGUCCUCAUUCCUUUUAAUUCUUUUUUCUUUUAUCCAUUCAACUUGGUGAUUUCCUUUACUCUUUUGUCCAGCUCGCAGAUCCUUUCUGCUGUAUCAUCUACUCUGUUACUGAUUCCCUCUAGUGAAGUUUUCAUUUCCAGUAUUGUAUUCUUCAUUUCUCUGUGUGUGUGUGUUUGUUUUUUGGUGAGGAAGAUUGGCCCUGAGCUAACAUCUGUGCCAAUCUUCCUCUAUUUUGUAUGUGGGACACCACCACAGCAUGGCUUGAUGAGCAUUGUGUAGGUCUGAAUCCCGGGCCACCAAAGCAGAGUGUGCGAAUUUAACCACUAUGCCACAGGGCCAGCCCCAUUUUUCAUUUCUGAUUGGUUAUUUUUUAUAUUUUCCAAUUCUUUGUUGAAGUUCUCACUGUAUUCAUCCAUUCUUCUCCCAAGAUCAGUAAGCAUCCUUCUGAUGAUUAGGUUGUACUCUUUAUCAAAUAGAUCACUUAUUUCUGUUUAGUUCUUUUUCUAAGGAUUUGUCCUGCUACUUAUUUGGAACAUAUUCCUUUGUCUCUUCAUUUUGCUUCAUUCUCUGUGUUUAUAUCUAUGCAUUAGGUAGAUCAGCUACAUCUCCCAAUCUUGGGGGGGGUGGCAUUAUGUAACAGAUGCCUUAUGAGGCCCAGCAGUGUGCUGCCCUCUCAUCACCAAUCUCAAAUGUUCCAGGAGUGUCCCGUUUGGACUACAUGUGUCCUUCUGUUGUGGCAUGGCUGCUUUUGCUGCAGGUGCACAGGGAGGCUAGGCUGUCCCCCUGGCCAGCUGGUUGUAAUGCUCAGUUGCGUGCAGCUGCUAGGGUCCCUUCACUCCCUUUAUUGAGCAUGGGAAGCCCCAGCACAGUUGGUUGCAAGGUCUAAUAGCACAUUCCUGCUGCAGUUUUUCUGUUAAGUGAGUAGGCCCCCAAUGUGGCUGAUUGCUAGGCUCAGAGGCUUACAAUUGUUGUAGCUCUCCAGCCUGCAAGGCUAUUGUCAGCUCUCUCGGUAGUGCAGCUGGGUAGGGCUGGCCCCAGGCAUGGCAGCACACAAUUGUUCCAGGUGUUGGAAGAUGGGGCCAAUCCCCCAUGUGGCUAUUUGAGAAAUACAAGUCUGCUGCAGCUGACAAGUCCCACCACCCACAGGCCCACACACUCUACCAAGACAGGCCUGCCGCUUGUACACACUCUGUCCAGAGGGCAGACCCACGCACCCUGCUGCAGAGGUCCCACACACCCUGCCUGUGCAGGCCCACAAGUUGCCUGAGGGUUUGCUGUUGGGUGGGGCUGUCCCUAGGACAGGCUGCUUGCCCUGGCUGAGCUGGAUUAACUCUGUGCUCUACUGGGUAGGGUACACCCCUGUGCUAACAGACCAGAUGUCUCUGUCAGCACACCUGUACUAGGUCACAAUAAUUGCUGCCAAUGUCUCAGUCCCUCGGGAGACGGUCCCAGCUACCUUUUAUCUCCUCAACAUGUGCCCAGAGCCUAUCAAGCAGAGGAAACCUAGUGCAGAAGCAGCUACUGGGAACCAUAGCCUGGCCUACUCGGCUAUCUGGUAAUAUUCUGUAAACCAUCCUUCUUUAAAACUAGUCCCAGAAUGGAACUAUUUUGCUUGAGGUUGGACAAACCAACUGCAAGUUUUCACGCUCUCUCAAAUCUCAGAUUCUGCAAGUUAUCUGUGGUUACACAAGUAUCUGCCGACAGAUGCGGUGGGGUGUAAGACUCAGGCAAAACAUCUGUUUGGUCUUGGGUUACAGCACUGACCAGCAAUCAGCAGAGUGUCGUGAGGAACUUUUCAAUCAGAACAAUGAAGCUGGAAAGCACAGAGCUACAGCCAACUACACAUCCUCUGACCCCGAAUUAUAUGCUUAUCUCGGUCCCCCUCACACUAAGGAGAGAAAAAAUAAAUAAAAGUCAAAGUCCUUGCUCCUUAGCAACCACAAUCUAUGAUCAAAACCACACAUAGAUGAAAAGUAUUUUAAACAAUUAUAAACAAAAUUUGAACAAAAAUACACAAU